rnacentral:rRNA from 1 species
UACGUAGGGCGCAAGCGUUUGUCCGGAAUUAUUGGGCGUAAAGAGCUCGUAGGUGGCGUGUCGCGUCUGCCGUGAAAGCCCAUGGCUUAACUGUGGGUCUGCGGUGGAUACGGGCAGGCUGGAGGCUGGUAGGGGCAAGCGGAAUUCCUGGUGUAGCGGUGAAAUGCGCAGAUAUCAGGAGGAACACCGGUGGCGAAGGCGGCUUGCUGGGCCAGUUCUGACGCUGAGGAGCGAAAGCGUGGGGAGCGAACAGG